UGACCUCGGAUCAGGUAGGAAUACCCGCUGAACUUAAGCAUAUCAAUAAGGGAGGAGGAA
rnacentral:rRNA from 1 species